rnacentral:rRNA from 1 species
CCCUUAGAUGUUCGGGGCCGCACGCGCGCUACACUGAAGGACUCAGCGUGUCUCUCCCCCUAUCCCGAAAGGGAUGGGCAACCCGUUGAACCUCCUUCGUGCUCGGGAUUGGGGUUUGCAAUUAUCCCCCAUGAACGAGGAAUUCCCAGUAAGCGCGAGUCAUCAGCUCGCGUUGAUUACGUCCCUGCCCUUUGUACACACCGCCCGUCGCUACUACCGAUUGGAUGGUUUAGUGAGACCCUCGGAUCGGUCCCGACUCGGGGUGGGCUUCUGCCCCGGUCGUGGUUUCGCCGAGAAGACGGUCAAACUUGACUAUCUAGAGGAAGUAAAAGUCGUAACA